rnacentral:lncRNA from 1 species
AAGUGCUCAUAAAAAAAUAUUGUAAGGGUCUUAUUCAGCCACAUAUACAUAAAUAAUUCUAGACUCCGAAAAAGUUGAAACUAUUUACUUUUAAGGAAUGAAGCAUGCAUCAACAAUAUAGUUAGUUGAGACUCAUGAAUCCUCAUUCUAAAUCCAGUGAGAAACAUUUCCCAAAACUAAGAAAAUUAUUUUUCUACUUCCAAGAAAUCCUUUGAAUACUUCUGCAGAAUGGUAAGUACUUUUCAGGGCAAAAAGACAUGUACCCAUAGUCAGCUGUUAGUAUAACAUAUCUAAAAUAGAGUCUAGAAAUCACAAUAAUCAUUUCCAAAGUAUGUAAAAGCCAGAGUGUCAUGCCUAAGGAAUUUACCAUAUUGGUCGCAGUGAUAUGCCAACAUCAACCCAACAUCUACAAUCAGCUUUCCAAGGGCUUUGAAAGCUAGACACCAACAAUUAACCUUCAGUAAAUGUAGAAAAUAAUUGAAAAGUGAACUUGAAAAAUAAAUAAAUGAAUAAAAAAUCCAAAAUAGAUGAAAACUGUGAAAGGAACACAAGAAGAUGGGAGCGGAAAACAAGUGUAGCACCAAACAAUAAUUACACUCCCACUUAUAGCUUCAUUUUCAAAAAAAUUGGCAGAGACUCAUACCAAAAGAUUAGAUUACUCUGAAAAUAUGCUCAUUUAUCUGCUUCAAAAAUUGGCUGAACCUACUGUCAGUUUAAAACAACUAUUCCGAUAUAGAAUAGAAGUUGACAACAUGAAAAAAGUGUAGACUGCAUACAAAGAAGUUUCUUCCCUGCAGUACACACUUGCGCUCACACAAAGACACAAAAAUAGAGAAUCAUAAAUUUGUAUAACUGUUUAAAUACAAGCUCUCAGAUCAUGAAUCCAAGAAAUCACAUAACUAUGAUAAACAAACCUCUCAAAAGACAAUUUCCAGCAAGCAGAAUAAGUCUCUCUUAAAAGCCAAUAAAGGAAUAUAGUAAUAUUUUGUGAGCAUACCCACUUCAAGUUCUGGUAGUGCACUAUGAGGCCAUAUAUUCGAACCACAAUAUGAUGGAUACCUAAAAGACAGAGAACGGGAAAUAAAUAAAGCAACAAACCACAUCAAGAUUUUGCAUAUCUAAUCUAAAUAUGCGCAAAUGAACAUAAGAUGCAUAUAACACAGAUCUUUCAAAAGUAAAAAAAUCAUCCCAGCAAAUGUAUUAUUGUCUUCCACAGACUGUAUCAUAUGAAGAUAGAUAUAAUAAAAAAUUUUGUUAUCCACUUUAUCCACACACUAACAAUCAAUUUUGCCAUCCAUAAAAUCUCCAGGAACAAGGGAAUGACAGUCAACACUACAAGCACUUGAAAUGCUGUUAAUAUCUCUUACCUUUCGAUUAAAUGAGUCUCUGUUGUAGGCACAUCUAACAAUGGAUUCGCAUAGAAGGAGCCCUUCAACAUAUCUGCACAAGAUUAGAAUUAAAGAGGUUAAGACCCUACUUGCAGGCAUAAGCUGACAUCAUGAGAAAUAUAAAAACUAAUCAUAGUAAGGCAUAGAACACCAACACUUCCUAAUAAUAUGUAUCAACAUGAACCACAUCCAAAGGCAGGGGCAGAACAAGCCAAUCUUGGCUGGAGGGGCCAAAGAAUUUUUUCAAGCCUAUAAAAUAGGUAUUUUAUUAAUAUAUGUUUAUUUUAAUAUAAAAUAUUGAGUAUUAAACUUUUUUUUUUUUUUACAGGGGCCAUGGCCCAUGCCAGUCCCUUAAUAGAUCCGCCCGGACCGCCCCUGUCCAAAGGUAAACAAAGCCGAUGUGUCAUUAUAACUGCAAUCACGUCUAGCUGCCAGUGUUCAAUCCAUUUUAUGUUUCAAAUUCCUCAAAACUUCAAAUGACUCCAUCCCUCCAUGUCCAAACUUAGGAACUCCCACUCUAUUCAAUCAUUUACAUAAAUAUCAUGGGAACAUGAAUCCUGAAAAAUAUACAGACUGCUCAUAUUAUGCUGUAUUUUAUUGAUUGCAAUAAUCAUGCAUCACAACAGGUGAAAUAUCUCAAGAUUGAAAUCAGCUUGGCCUGUGUUAGAACAAGAUGACCAAACUCAAGAACCUGCAUUCAAAAAUUUCCAUUAGAAAUAAUAGGGUCUUCUUUAUAACAUGAAAGCAUACCAGGGUUCCCGGAUUCAAGCUUCUCUUUACCAUGACUCCAUCCGAAGUUGUACCUACAAACAGAGAGUGAAAAGAAGAAACAAAGAGUUAGAGCACCUCAUAUACUGUGAGAUUAUGAACUUGGAAAUAUAUUUCAAUUCCAAUGCAAGAAUACCAAGCCUUCCACAAACAAAAUCACCAGAAAAAAGGUUCUAGUUAUUCAUGAUAAACACAGCAUUUCCAUGGGCUGCAGGCCAUGCUAAGUAUUGCUGUUAACAGCUUUAGGUAGGAUUUAAGGAAAAUAUACUGUUCUUUUUUCAUCAAAUAGUAAAUACGGGACAUGACCAAAAAUAAAUAAAAUGAGGAAAGAGAUACUUAGGUAGGACCAUGCUAAUCAUCUACACCAUCAAAAGACCUAAUGAUCGCAGAGGAUAAAUGGGUAAACUCCAUCACCUGAGUUAUGUAGCAUAUGAUGCACUCAUGAGGACAUAACCAUGUGAAGACAGCAUUAUUCUAUUAGUGAGUAGAACUCUGAAUGGCAUUAUCAUAUGUGUCAGGACCUUCUGGAAUCAAUGAAGAGUUCAACUGACAUAAUACCCUUCGAGUAUGAAAUGAAACCGUUAAGUACCAAUAAGGUGAAAGUUUAUCUUUUCCAAACAAGCCUAAGGAACCCAAUCAGUAUAAAGGGAAUAGAGGUAUAAUAAGAUCCUUCCCACAUAAGUUUAGAGCUACCCAGAGCAAUUUAACAAACCUCUAUGCUAAGUGGAGGCCAAAUACACAUCCAAAGCAACCAAAAUAAGCCAUCAAAGGGAAUAAAGUAAAUAAAAGAAGAUGAACAGUGAAAUCAAACAACAAUACAGGAGUUAUUGGAAAGUAGAAUCAGACCUACUGUGAUGAUCUUCAAGAUCCUUUUUCACAUCUUCGGGAAGGUUAGCUAAUCUGAUAAAACAGAAUCUUGUGAACAACUUAUGUAAAGUUUCUUAGUCCUAAAUAAUAUCUACCCGCAAGCUCAACCUGAGCAUUGAAAAUCUAGUUUGAAUCUUAUACCUAGGUGCAAGAUGCAGGAGAUUUUGACGCAGUGAAGAAAAUCCAGGAACCUAAAACAAAAACAGGUCAACUUCAAACAGGUAAUACGAGCAUAUUGAAAGCAAAAUGACUGACUAAUUCCUGAGCAAAGACACUAGUUGUCCAAAUUUCAAAUGCAAAGACACAUACAAAAUACAUAAAUAUAGAGGGGGAAAAAAAGAGUUUCAAAAAUGGGAACGGGACUUCAUCAAGCUUGCUACUUCAUUUUUUGUUACACAUUGCCACAGGUUUCAUCAUAUUCAAAAGUUCUAUUCGUUAUACCAUACUUGGCAAUGAAACCAUACAAAGCCAAUGGGCAUCUUAGUUCCAAUUAUGUACUUAAAGUUCACAUGUCCACAAAAACUUGGGCAUUGUGGAUGGUUGUUCGCCAAUCAUAGCUUUUGAAGUUGGGUAAAGACAAAUUGGUAAUAUAAAAUUUUCAUCAAACAGCUGUGGGUUAAAAUCAACUUAGCUUUCAAAAGUCAAAAUGAAAUUAAAAUGUUUACCAGACACUAAAGCUACUUUGCUUUGAAAGCACAGCUGUUAAACGACAAUACCAAAUGGAGCCUUAAAUGACCUAUUAAUCUUCCAACAUUUUUUUACAAGUUAACACAGAGUGACAGUAAUUCUCAGGAUAUAUCAAAUUCAGUUAUCGCUAUAAUGAUAUCUCCUAAAAUUUCAGUAUCACUUAUUUGUCAGCCAAACAGAACAUUGAAAGACUAAAAUAUGAUCAGGUAUAUACAUAUGUGCAAGUGCAACAAAAUGGACAAAUAUAUAUGAAAAGAAAAAAUAGAAAAUUCAACUGCAAAAAUUAUUUCAUACGUCUGUAACAGAUAGAAUUCCGAGACCGUUGGGUCCAAACCCUUGUUCAAUCUUCAUCGACAAGUCAGCAUUCUUGUCCUGUUUCAAUCAAUUCAAACAACCGCCAGUAAAUUUCAAACACGUGUGUUUCACACUCGUAUACGCAACGAGAACUAAGGUCUGAAGGUGAGCGAGGGACACAGAGACUUUACCUUGAGCUCCGAGUACGAAAUUGUGACGGUUCUGAGAGUGGGGGAAACGGCUGCGGACGAGCAAGUCAUCUUCUGACACGUAAUCCGGUGGGAAGCACUGCGAUUGGAGGGCGGGCCAAGGAUGAAUUGAGUGCCGAAAUGAGUUUUAUAGACAAGCGACCCUGAGAGAAUCGGAUUCAUGCGCGAAGUGAGUGUGAUGGUCAAUUCAAAUGAGAUGAAAACAAAAGGAAAAACACAAGCAAAAGGAAUAAAAUAGCAAGCGGUGUGGUUUUGGCUCUUCGCGUUUGUUCUUUAAAUUGAUUAUCGGCCGGCCCAAACCUUUUACGUGAGUUGCGUAAGUCGUUCCUAUUCGCCGUCGUUCCCGCUAAACAUUACAAAUUUAUAAUUCCCCGCAAUUAAAAUUACAAAAAAAAUUCACAAAAAGACAAGGAAAAAGUGAUUUAUACAGUUAAAGCUAUUAUUUUAAUAUAAAAACUAUCAUCUAAUUCCCUAACUUUUCUUCUUUUAGUGUGAUACCAAAAAAAUAAUAAAUAAAUUUCGGAUUAUCCUUAAUUAUCUAUAAGUUACCUUUUAUUUUUAAAAGCUUUAAAUUAUUUUACUUUUUGUUUUAAAAAUAAAGAGCAAAUAAUUGUAUAUUGACAAAAAUUAUUUUGUCUUCUUAACAAAAAGUAUGCCAUAUUUAAAUUUAAAAAGUAAAUAAGUGAAUUAAAAAUAGCCAAUUUCAAUAUAAUAAUUCUUUUAUUCAUUAUACGAGAGAAAUUUCAACUUGGUUCCUCGUGUUUUUUAUACCAAUUUACAAUCUUUACCAAUUGAAUUAAUAAGUAGAAUGACAUAUGUGUCACGAUAUAAAAAUGAAAUAAUUUUUUUUAUGAUUGGAUUGACAUAUUCUGACUUAUUAAUAAUCUUAUAUUUAAUAUUUUUUAUGUUGAACUAUUUAUUAGUGUCAUAUAUGUUUUCUCAAUUCAUUUAUGACCAAUUUAACAACAAUUUCAUUAUAUUUAUUAUGUAUUAAAUCCAUCUUUAUUUUUUUCGGUAGAAAAAUGACUGAACAACUUUUUAACCUCUUUUUACUUAGCUUUUAAUUAUUUAAUUCCUAAAAAAAUAGACAUAAUUUCUUAUUAAGUUAAGUAUAUAUUGCAGGUCGAAUUCGAAUCUAAGACUCAAGACUUUUUUUUUUUUUUUUUGAUAAGUAAAACUCAAGACUUUAAAGUUUAAAUCUUAUGAAAACCGCUUUUUAUUUUCUGCUAAAACUAAACAAUAACUCCUACUCAACAUUACAUUUUAAAAAAUACAAGUACACACAUUAGAAAAAAAAAAAAAAAAAAGAACCAUGAAUGCUAAAUCUCAAUCACAUCAAGGAAGAAAAAUGAUGAGAUGUGAUUAUAUGAACGGUUGAACAUGCUCGCAAUUCACAUAAUUUAUGUAAUUUAUUUAUUUUUUAUUGCUUUUUAUUAUAAUAUACUACAGACGUGGACACUUAAAGUGAUGGUUGCCUUAUAUUUUAUUAUUUGAAUAUGUAGUUUAUCCAAGUAUUUAUUUCAAUUGAAAAAUAAUAUUAUUUCGAAACGGUUUUAGUUCUCAAGUUUUGUUCUAAAUUCACACCCCUCUCUCUUGCUGAAAACUCAAUGGCGUGCAACUUUCACCACCUCACCCAAACUAUCCGACUCUCUUUCCCACCUCUUCACAAUUUCAAAGCUUCUGAUGCUUUUACGAAUAAGAGUUUAAUCACCACAUUUCCAGUACGUUUCUCUUUUCACAGCUCAGCAAAAUUAACUACUUCUAUUCGCUCUUUACGAGUCGAUACCCCUAGCAUUAGCUACAGAAGCAGCUGUACCUUCACUUGGGACGACGUCUUUCGAGUUUCUCAACCAGAAUAUUCCCCUGACGAUUCUUCCGAUCUCCGUGGCUACUUCGAGAAAAUCAAAAUCUGCAAUCGUGGCUCAGUUACUAUCUCAAAUUCCUCAUUAAACAAAUAAAUUUUGUAACCUUUAUUUUGCUCCACUUAUUUCACUUUCUUAUCUUUUUAAUUAUUAUUAUUAUUUUGUUUUAGGAAAUGCAAUCCGAGUUUUUUCCUUUUAUCAUCGAGGACCAAGUUGCUGGUUACACACAUAAUCGGUACAAUUUCUCUAUCCUCAUAAUACAAAGUAGAUUAUGUCUAUUUAUUGUUAGGACUUAGUUACGGUGUAAUUGUGGUACCGUAUAAUAAUUAUUUUCAUUCAUUAAAUAUAAUUAUUAUAUUUAAAAGUAAGAGAUUAAAUGGCCGAAAAUAACUGUGGUAUGAUAUUACAGUUGCACCAUAGCUGCUGUUAAGGAUUUUAAAUUCUGAAUAAUUUUUUUUUAAAGAAAUUAUCAUUACAUCAUCUUUAUUUUACAAUAUAUUCAUUCAACUAUUACAAAAUUUUAAUAUAUUUUCUAUACCACCUUUCUUUUUAAAAUUUGUAUCAAUUAGUCAUUUUUGUAUUAACACCGUUAAAUAAUUUUAAUAAAAUGACAAGUUUAUCCCUAAAUAAAUUUUAAAAAAUAUUUUAUUUUAUAAAAACUUUGAAAAAUAAAAAAAUUGUAAUUAUAGAAAUACCCUAAUUUAAUAAAAAUAAAUUCUAAAAUUAGAAUUUUUACUUUUUAUAAAAAUUAUUUUAAUAUAAAAUAAUUGCAAAAGUUUGGAAUUUAAUAAAAAUAUCCUAAAUUUUUAAAAUUUUGGGAUUUAUUUUUUAAUAAGUAAAUUCAGUUAUUAUAAUAAAAUUUUGUAACGUUAUAAUUUUUAAUAAAUAAAUUUAAUUUUUUAUUAAAAUUUUAUAAAAUCUAAAUUUAAUAAAAAUCAACUGAGUACCUUUAUUUGAGAUUUAUUUUUAUUAAAUUUAGAGGUAUUUUUAUAAUUAUAAAAUUUUUUAUUUUUCAAAGUUUUAUAAAAUAAAAUAAUUUUUUAAUUUAUUUAAAAAUAAAAUUAUUUAACGGUAUUAGUACAAAAAUAACUAAUUGAUGCUAUUUAAAAAAAAAAGAUAAUGCAGAAAACAUUAGACUUAGCAAAACCCUCGAUCCGGUCCGGGUUUGGUACUGCCCAGGGCCAGAUCGGAUGAGUAAAACAGCUGCCCGGACACGGGUUUAAGCCCGAUUUUUAUGUGCGGGCUAGGUUCAAGCCGGAACCUCCAAGGCCCUGGUUUUUUAUCUGGUCUUCUAAGCCUGCAUGUGAAUUAACAUAUAAUAUAUACUAAUGUAAAUACAAAUUUUACAAAAAUAAUAAAUAAAAUUUACUUCAAUCUACUUUCUACUACCUACAUUCAUUUAAUUUCUAAGCUGAACUCAUUUAAUAUAUAUAAAAAAAAAUUAAAUUCAACAACACAAUAAUCACUAAAUAAAUUUAAAUAACAUUCAAUAUAUCAUAAGUUCAUAAUUAUGAUAUCAAUUACCAAUACAACAUAUAAAAAUCUUAAAAUAUUUAACAUCUCAAAAAAUAGUUCAUAAAAAAAUCAAAAUACUAACAACUCAAAAAAUAGUUCAUAAAACAGUCAAAAUACUCUCAUGUGAAAUACUCGAGCAUAGCAUAUUAACAUUCAAAAAAAAAUGAUAAAUACCAAAUAAUCAUAAUAAUUUCAUCAUUUUUUUAACUAAAUCGGAAAAUUAUAUGAAAGGCAAAAUUAAGAAGCAAAAAAUCAAUAGCCGGGGUUGUGGCUGAUCAGCUGAUGGUAAGAGUGAUGGUGGUUGUGACGACCAACGGGCUGACGACGGUGGAGGUCGAACAACUCACUGUUGUUGGAGAUGGAGCAACCGAACAAAGCCGCGUGCCAAGCCAAGUCGGCGACCGAGAAGAGAUGAUCCCGACGGGUGACGGUGGGUGGUGGUUAUUGUUGGGUUGGAGUGUUGGAGGCGUGAGCUACGUGGCAGCACUGCUGCUUAAGCUUUUCAAACUGUCGAUGGGGAUUAGGGAAUUAGGGAUUUGGCAAUUUGGAUUGGGUACUUGGGUAUCUAGGCUUUUGGUAUUGAGCCCGGAACCGUGCUCGGAAAUGUUCUAGUUUGAGAAUUUCAUGCCCGAAUUCGUUUUUUUUUAGUGUAUGCGGUUUGGGUUUUGUUUGGACCGGAUUAGCUGAGUCUGGUCUGAAUCCAGCCUGAGUGGAUUUUUUUGACACUUUUAAAAAAUAUGUUAAAAUUUUAUGGUGAUUAAAUGAAUAUAAGGUAAAAUAAAGUUGGUACAAUGAUAAUUAUACUUUUUUUUCCCGUUUUUGAAUCUGAGCAGUUUCGCUAGUCACCUAAGGAAAUACGACGACGUAUUCAUUUACUCUGGGAACAACGGAGGUCGAUUUGGCAGUCACGUGAAGUUAAACUCAAAGCUGAAAACAGCCGAUGAGAGGACGAGAGUUGUUGGAGAAGUGAUUAAAUGCUUGGCCGAAGAAGAAUUGAUUCCAGAUAUACAAAAUGAGGUACUGCUAGCUUUACUUUUGAUGCUUAUAUAGGAAUUGAAUAGAUUUUCUUUCACUUUUGAAUACAUGCUUUGUGCUUCUGACUAUGUCCGUAUAAUGUGUAAUUUCUAACUGAUAUUUGAUUUUUUUGAGAUUGAUUCAUUUUGGAUUUCAUUGGUUUAUAAUCAGCUCUAUCCUGUAGCGUCAACCUUUGGUUCUCCGAUCUUCUUCUCGCUGGAUCGUGCCGCUGCUCCUUACUUUGGGAUAAAGGUGAGUUCAUGACUUUUGCUUUGCAUCAAUGAUCUUGUAUUAUUUUUUGUGGAAAAGAAGCUUAGACACGUUGUGCAUAAAGUUUGAGAUACAAUAAGUUAUUGAUUAUGAGAUGUUUAUUGUGGAUAUGAUCACACGAAACAGUUGUCUUAUUGAGUGUCUAUGAUUGGAUCUAGUCACUGUCAUACUUUGUCUAUUUUAUUACUUUGUAUAUUACUUUGCUUUCUGGUAAAUGAAUGAAUAAUAAUUUAUUUGGCUAUUGAUGGUUAUAUGGCUGAUCCUUUCUUCCUGAAUUUGAAAAUAGGCUUAUGCAGUUCCCUUGAAUGGUUAUGUUGAAAAAGAUGGGCAAAAAUUUCUGUGGAUUGGAAAACGAAGUCAAGUCAAAUCUACUUAUCCAGGAAUGCUUGAUAUUCUAGCUGGUGGAGGAUUGGUUUGUAAUAGUAACCUUUCAUUGCUUUUCUUAGGUUUAUAGUAUUGGAUUCUUCUUUUGAAUUGUAUUGAGUUUAUUUUAGUUUUGAAAAACACUAAAGUUGUCAGCUGAUUCUCCCAAGUCCUUUUUGUGAUCGGACAAAAGUGCCAAACAUGUAUUGCAUUGGUAGGGCACAGCUGGAUCCUCAUAUACUUGAAAUUCACUGAUGACCUUCAUUUGAAAUUGGAAUAGGUUGCUUACUAAGAAAUAGAUUAAUAAGGUUUUUCUUCGGCAGAUGACUCCAAUAUGACUGCAGUUGAUUAUUGUAACAAGAUUGGCUUCUGAAGUGCUACUAAGGCUUAAAAAUCAAUUAGUUCUUAGAAAUUCUCAAAAUAGUAGGAAGAAGGCACGACAUUACCCAAUGGCUGUUUGUCAUUCUGAUUUAGCUUUAUGCUUUGCUUCUAGAAUAAGAGGGAAGAGGCAAAAGGUCAUUCUGAAAAAUGCCAUUUCUAUGGUGCCAUUUAUAAAGCAUGCAAGCAAAAACGUAGGGGGCAAGAGAAACUUUGCGGACAUUUGUUUCUUGGUUAUUUUUCGGUUGGACUGAUUUAUCUCUUUACUAGCUAUAUAUGUUUUAAAGUUUAAACUGAGUGGUUUGGGCAGCUUGGAAAUAUUUGUCCAUGUUAGUCUGUAAUGAGAAAAUGAUCUUGAAAAGCCUUUAGUGAACAUGGAAACUUGAGCCCAGAACAAAUAUCACAUGGGCAGCAAACCCUGUGCAAUUGGAAAACAUUAGGCGUUCCUCCUUGUUGCAAUACUUGGAGAUUCCAGUUCAGUUGCUGCAAUUGGACAAUAGAAUUUAUAAUAGUGAAAACCAAGGAUUCAUUUCAUUUAAAAAUGUGUUCUCUAAUCUUUAUGCUCAGUUAUCCGAGCCAACUCUUCAUCUAUAUAAUUGUGAUGGUGAUUGCAGCCCCAUGGUAUUGCUUGUGGGGAGAAUAUUAUCAAGGAAUGUGAAGAGGAAGCGGGAAUCCCUAGAUCCAUAUCCAAUAGGUAAGCUUUCCUCAUGCCACAUUGAUUCUAAAUUUUAGGAUUAAUUGCAUUAACUAUAUUAUAUUGGCUAAAAAUGUGAACUUUGCUAAAGUUCCACUCCACAUGUCAACAUUCUGAUUAAACCAUGGUUCUUUUGUGGAUGAUUGGUUGUACUAAUGGGUCCAGAUAUACAUCUUUCACAGAGCUAGACCAGUGGGAGCUGUUUCCUAUACGGACAUUAAUGGGUUUAGUUACAAAAGAGAUGUUAUAUUUUGUUACGAUUUGAAGCUACCUGAAGAUUUUGUUCCUAUGAAUCAAGGUAACUGUAUUAAAGCUUGAUCACACUGACGCUCAUUUUCUUCCUUCGUGAGAAUAAGGUAUAAAAGCAAUGUUUCUUGAUCUACAAACUAAUUUUAGCAUUCCUACUGUUAAAUAUUUGUACAUUUCAAUCUAUAACAUUCAUCUGCUGCAGUUUUAGAAGAGAAUUAUAUCUAUUCAUUGUAAUAGCUUUUAUUAAACAUGUUGCAGACGGAGAGGUAGAAAGCUUCCAGUUGAUGCCUGUGGCACAUGUUGCAAAUGUCAUACGGAGAACAGAGUUCUUCAAGCCAAAUUGCUCCCUAGCCAUCAUUGAUUUCUUGUUUCGACAUGGGUAUUAGCACUUUUCUUGAUUGCUUCUUGUAUCUCUCUCAGUUUGAGACUUUCAGUAAUCAGUUAAAAAGAUUAAAAUAAAUAAAGAAAGAAAUAAAACUAGCAUAUGUGACAGCCGUAUGAAAAAUAAAUAAAUAAAUAGAAAGCAUAAUCACUUCUUUCUUUCUUUUUUUAUUAACUGUCAAGUUGUGGCAAUGGUUGCUGCUUUUCUUAUGAUAGUGGACUCUUCUGCCCUGUAGAAAUGAUAAAAGCAAUGGUGUGUAAUUGUAAUGAAUCUUAAAUGUUUGCUCUCCACUACUGAUAUUCCCAUGUGUUUCUCUUUAGUUUUAGGAAUCUUUUAGAUGUCUUUGGGUUUUCUUUUUCAUGAUUUCAUACAUUUAUCAUUUAUGCUGAUUAAAAUUGUUACAUAUUAGGCUUGGCAAAUUGCUCCAGGAUUUUAUUUCUGACACUCAUAUGCACUUCCAACUAUUUCAAUGAAUCUCGAGAUAUGUCUUUGAUUUUUCUUGUAAUGUCCAUACAUUGAUGCUGGUUGAUAUUAGAUAUAUUUGAUGGGAUUCAUGCUCAAAAGGCGUUGUUGUAGUUCCUUCUUUGCUAUUAUGAAAAAUUCAGCUAUAGCAUAUCAGUCCAUCCCAGUUUGAUUCUAAUCUUUUACCAUAAUGCUGCAACUUGUAGGUACAUUCGUCCUGAAUAUUUUGGAUACUUGGAUCUACUACAGAGUUUGAGAAGGGGAGACUUCUCCUAAUUAUUUGUCUUCGUGCCUGUCUUUUUUCUUUUUCUUUUUUAAUCCUCCAAAUAUAUUGGAUUGACUGAAUGACAACUGGUGUUAAUUAAAGGCGUUAUUUUCCUGUCGCGAAAGAGAUAGUUUGGGCAUUAUACGAUGUGAAAUCAUAGUUCUUAAAAUGAGACUUCUGAAUGAAACUAAACACAUAAUAUGUAAUUUAGGGUUUAAAAAAAAAAAUGGAAUUUACCCCGGUUAUACCCGGAAUCUUGGCUAUUAAUCUAGUUAUGCCCUCGUAUUUCGAAAUUAUCAUAAUAUGCCUUUAGAGAUGAGUAAUGUCUAAAUUACCCUCAAAUAUCUCCACUUUGUCAUUGAAUUUCUUCUCCGUUGGCCGCAAUAGCUCCAUCGAGAUUACCCUUAUCAAGCAGAAUGAUUUAUCUCUUGUUGGUGGUGACCUAAACAAUAAGUAUAGGUCAUUGUUAUGACGAAAAUAAAGGGCCAGAAUUCACAUGAAUAAUGCUUAAUUACCAUGGCUGCUAACUAGGCCAAAACGUCAUGACAAGAUCAACAGAAAGAUAAACAUAGAAGAACUGUCGGAUGCGCAAUACUAUAAGUGUCAUUCCAUGUACCUGAAAGAUGAUUGCCUAUUCAUCAAAAAUCGUCCAAAUAGAAAAUGCAAAAAUUGAAGAAUCCCAACCUAAUCUGGUAUUAGCCAUUGUGCCCACCAAUUAGACUUACAUCUGAAUGAUGCUCAGAUUUAUCACUAUAAAUACCAAAGCUUACAGAAUCUUGGAUGCUUAAGUGAUAACCAGUAGGCUCUUUUUUUUUUUUUUUUUUUUUUUAAUAAGAAUUACUAAAUGUUUGCUUUACAUAUUGCCAUGGGAUGAUAAUAUCCAUCAACAAACUGAUAUCCAGUUCCAUCCAUAUGGACAUGUAGAUCUUCUUACUCUGUACCAGAAUAUCUGUGUAAAGUGAGUAGAAUAAAUUCAAGACCCAAAGUUUUACUCUCUAGGCUCUGGUUUGGGAUUUUUUUUUUUUAAUAUUGUUAUACAGGACUAUAGGUAUUAUAAUUAAUAUUUACAAACAGAUUUUACAAUUGGGACCUUCUUCGUGGCAUGUACUCCUCUGAAGCGCUGCCCAAAUUCUUCAAAUCCUCUCAAAUAUUCGAGGAUUGUUCACUCUACUCACAUUUCGUGAGGAAUAGACUGGCUCCACUCAAUUAUUUGAUAAUUGAGGAAGGAUUGUAAAUAAGCUUCAUAAAUGCUUUUAUGGAGGCUCGAACCCUUGCACUCAUUAUUCUAGGUGCAAAGGUUCUCCCACUGAACCAAAGGCCCAUUGGUAGGCUCUGGUUUGGUUAAGUCAUAUAAUUUCGGAGAAUACCACAUGUACCAAAAGCAACACUGUCAAGUAAACUCCUCUAUUUACAUUUCAAUUAAACCACAUAAUUGAUCUACACAGGGACAAUUGAUAGAAUUACCUCUGCUGUGCAGGAAAAUAAUAAAGAAGACGGCCUUUGUGACACCGAGAGCGAAGAAGUAUUUGUUCAAGGCCCUCAUUCUCUUUCAUUUUCAUUCCUUUACAUACUGCUCAAGUGCUCAUAAAAAAUAUUGUAAGGGUCUUAUUCAGCCACAUAUACAUGAAUAAUUCUAGAUUGUGAAAAAGUUGAAACUAUUUACUUUUAAGGAAUGAAGCAUGCAUCAACAAUAUAGUUAGUUGAGACUCAUGAAUCCUCAUUCUAAAUCCAGUGAGAAACAUUUCCCAAAACUAAGAAAAUUAUUUUUCUACUUCCAAGAAAUCUUGUGAAUACUUCUACAGAAUGAUAAGUAUUUUUCAGGGCAAAAAGGCAUGCACCCAUAGUCAGCUGUUAGUAUAACAUAUCUAAAAUAGAGCCUAGAAAUCACAAUAAUCAUUUCCAA